rnacentral:rRNA from 1 species
GACGAACGCUGGCGGCGUGCUUAACACAUGCAAGUCGAACGGAAAGGCCCUGCUUUUGUGGGGUGCUCGAGUGGCGAACGGGUGAGUAACACGUGAGUAACCUGCCCUUGACUUUGGGAUAACUUCAGGAAACUGGGGCUAAUACCGGAUAGGAGCUCCUGCUGCAUGGGGGGGGUUGGAAAGUUUCGGCGGUUGGGGAUGGACUCGCGGCUUAUCAGCUUGUUGGUGGGGUAGUGGCGUACCAAGGCUUUGACGGGUAGCCGGCCUGAGAGGGUGACCGGCCACAUUGGGACUGAGGUACGGCCCAGACUCGUACGGGAGGCAGCAGUGGGGAAUAUUGCACAAUGGGCGGAAGCCUGAUGCAGCAACGCCGCGUGCGGGAUGACGGCCUUCGGGUUGUAAACCGCUUUCGCCUGUGACGAAGCGUGAGUGACGGUAAUGGGUAAAGAAGCACCGGCUAACUACGUG